rnacentral:rRNA from 1 species
CCUACGGGUGGCAGCAGUGGGGAAUAUUGCGCAAUGGGCGAAAGCCUGACGCAGCGACGCCGCGUGAGGGAUGAAGGUCUUCGGAUCGUAAACCUCUGUCAGCAGGGAAGAACGGUCACUGUGCUAAUCAGCAGUGAAUUGACGGUACCUGCAAAGGAAGCACCGGCUAACUCCGUGCCAGCAGCCGCGGUAAUACGGAGGGUGCGAGCGUUAAUCGGAAUUACUGGGCGUAAAGCGCUCGUAGGAGGUAUGUCAAGUCAAGGGUGAAAUCCCCGCGCUCAACGUGGGAACUGCCUUUGAAACUGGCAAACUGGAGUGUGUGAGAGGAUAGUGGAAUUCCAGGUGUAGGAGUGAAAGCCGUAGAUAUCUGGAGGAACAUCAGGGGCGAAGGCGACUAUCUGGCACAUAACUGACGCUGAGGAGCGAAAGCGUGGGUAGCAAACAGGAUUAGAUACCCCAGUAGUC